UACGUAGGGUGCGAGCGUUAAUCGGAAUUACUGGGCGUAAAGCGUGCGCAGGCGGUUAUGUAAGACAGUUGUGAAAUCCCCGGGCUCAACCUGGGGAAUUGCAUCUGUGACUGCAUAGCUAGAGUACGGUAGAGGGGGAUGGAAUUCCGCGUGUAGCAGUGAAAUGCGUAGAUAUGCGGAGGAACACCGAUGGCGAAGGCAAUCCCCCUGGACCUGUACUGACGCUCAUGCACGAAAGGCGUGGGGAAGCAAACAGG
rnacentral:rRNA from 1 species